CCGCCGGCGACCGGCGCACGGGUGAGUAACACGUAUGCAACCUGGCCGUGACAGAUGGAUAACCGGGAGAAAUCCCGCCUAAUACAGCAUGACGCCGGGAAGGGACAUCCCUUUCCGGCCAAAGGGGGCGACUCCGGUCACGGAUGGGCAUGCGGCGCAUUAGGUAGUUGGUGGGCAACGGCCCACCAAGCCGACGAUGCGUAGGGGUUCUGAGAGGAAGGUCCCCCACAUUGGAACUGAGACACGGUCCAAACUCCUACGGAAGGCAGCAG
rnacentral:rRNA from 1 species